ACGGGAGGCAGCAGUGAGGAAUAUUGGUCAAUGGGCGGAAGCCUGAACCAGCCAAGUCGCGUGAAGGAUGAAGGUAUUAUGUAUUGUAAACUUCUUUAGACGUAGAGAAAUAAGGGGAUCGUGAUCCCUGAUGCUAGUAUACGUAGAAUAAGGAUCGGCUAACUCCGUGCCAGCAGCCGCGGUAAUACGGAGGAUCCGAGCGUUAUCCGGAUUUAUUGGGUUUAAAGGGAGCGUAGGCGGAAGGUCAAGUCAGCUGUGAAAUGUAGUCGCUCAACGUCUGCACUGCAGUUGAAACUGGCCUCCUUGAGUGCGUAAGAGGCAGGUGGAAUUCGUCGUGUAGCGGUGAAAUGCUUAGAUAUGACGAAGAACUCCGAUUGCGAAGGCAGCUUGCUGGGCCGCAACUGACGCUGAAGCUCGAAGGUGCGGGUAUCAAACAGGAUUAGAUACCCUGGUA
rnacentral:rRNA from 1 species